GGUCGUGCUGAAGGCCUGUUUCCUAGGCUGCACAUGGGGGACUGGUUCCUUGUUCUGCCUAGGGGAAAGUUCUCAAACCUCUGGCAGAGAGUGCCGCGUGUACACGCACAUAGACAUCCCUCCACUUCUCACUGUUAAAUCCUGCCAAGAAGCGAAUCUCGCUGAGCUGCAUGAUGCAGAGGCAUCAUCAGUCAGCUCCACUAGUUAACAGGCAGUGCAUGUCUUAGCGCACCAACCACAUAGGGCUCGUUCUCAACGCGGC
ensembl:misc_RNA RNase_MRP RNase MRP